UUCAAUUUUCUACCGUUAUCCACGUUACGCCCUCUGCAAUUGAAAAUCGCCACAAGGGCUUACAGAGGAGGAGACAGAGUUAUCUCUGAAACUUUGAGAUGGAACGCACGCGAGCUAGAAGAGGACCUGAUGCGAUUAGGGAGAUUUGACAGAACGCAAUAAGAUGCAUGCAAGCUUCAACUCGAUCUUCAUUCAACAAGAAGCGACAGGGUCAUUAUGCGAUCUUGACUGAGCGAUCUAGCUUCUUCGUCUACGACAGGACUAUUGUACGAUAGGCUGGAACACAACAAGGGAUUUUGCGAUAGGCUUCGUCUAAGAAGACACUUUAUUCUUACACCAAAAAUAGCUUCGUCUCUCUGUUUUUUAAGUGCAAGGUAUAAUCUUGAAAUUUGACUUCAAUAGCUAUGGUGGUUUUUCCGAUACAAAUGGCUGAGUAUUUGUCUAUAGAACAUGUCGUAUAGAUUUUAUAGCUUAUACGUUAGUAUAGACUAUUUGUGUUGGAUUGGCAUGGUAAAUUUGCAGCUUGUUCACUCAAUAGUAUAAUGCAUACUUGAUAAUUGAAGCUAUAUUUUGACUGCCAAUGAUGUUGUUCAGCUUGCUUUGGUAUUCUAAAAUUGUUUAAAUAUUACGGUCUUAUAGUAUGGUUUUGCUUUUCCCUAAGCCCAUAGCUUUCCUGAAAGUAAGAGGCAUCAUUUUCUCUGUCACAUCUCAGUAUUGUAGCAAAAUCAGGAAUCAAGUAAAGAUUACCAACUAAAUUGUGAAUAUAGUGUUUUUGAUGGCCCUUGCUUGAUCAAGAGACAACGUCAAAUACAAAUGUAAGAAGGAGGCUUGGUGUUGCAACUAUUUUGAUUGGCUAAAGAAGAUUGUGCAGAUGAUGACACAGAAACAAAAUUUAGAGCAACAAAACUCAUGAGGCAAGGAAAACAACAUUUGAAGGAAGACAAAGAGCACCUGAAAUUAAACAAGAAAAUGAGAGCAUGAAGCAAGAGAUGGAAAGGUUGAAGAGAAAUUUCAAGAGCUUAAAGAUUGAAUUGUUUAUUGUGUGGGAGUAUUUGAAAGCAGUAGAAUGUGGGUGUCACCAUUUUUGUUGUACAUUCUUGAUUAAGUAGGAAUAUUGGAAAGCAAUAGAAUGUAAAAGUAUGUAGGUGAACCAUUUUAUUUGCUAGAAUCUUUUGUUGCACUGAAAGUAGUGGAAUAUAAAGUAGAUAGAUGUACUGCUUUUACUGUAAUUUAUGGAACCAUUUUUGUGGAAUGAAGAUUAGCUUUGUUGCUAAUCUCUUUUGUCA